GAUGAACGCUGGCGGCGUGCCUAAUACAUGCAAGUCGAGCGAACGGACGAGAAGCUUGCUUCUCUGAUGUUAGCGGCGGACGGGUGAGUAACACGUGGAUAACCUACCUAUAAGACUGGGAUAACUUCGGGAAACCGGAGCUAAUACCGGAUAAUAUUUUGAACCGCAUGGUUCAAAAGUGAAAGACGGUCUUGCUGUCACUUAUAGAUGGAUCCGCGCUGCAUUAGCUAGUUGGUAAGGUAACGGCUUACCAAGGCAACGAUGCAUAGCCGACCUGAGAGGGUGAUCGGCCACACUGGAACUGAGACACGGUCCAGACGCCUACGGGAGGCAGCAGUAGGGAAUCUUCCGCAAGGGGCGAAAGCCUGACGGAGCAACGCCGCGUGAGUGACGAAGGUCUUCGGAUCGUAAAACUAUGUUAUUAGGGAAGAACAUAUGUGUAAGUAACUGUGCACAUCUUGACGGUACCUAAUCAGAAAGCCACGGCUGACUACGU
rnacentral:rRNA from 1 species